rnacentral:ncRNA from 1 species
ACCUAAGGUAGAGGUGCUAUAAGCAAUAAGUACUUAUUAUGAGCUGGCAAGCUAUGAUUAAUUUAGGAAAGGUGCUAUGGCCGAAGGAAGAAAUUAUGCAAAGAUUUGUUUCUGGGGAUGCAUAGAAUAUAUGUAUAACUGUCACGAAAGUGGAGAGCUACAAAGGUU